rnacentral:lncRNA from 1 species
CCCUCCUUUCUCCACGCCCCCCCUCCCCCGUCAAGCCUUUGGCAUCAUUAUCCUCAUCACUAAAUCCUACAGAGUACAGGGCGGAAAACGGUGCACAC